rnacentral:rRNA from 1 species
CCGCGUCCCAUCAGCUAGUUGGUGAGGUAACGGCUCACCAAGGCUUACGGGUAGCUGGUCUGAGAGGAUGGUCAGCCACACUGGGACUGAGACACUGCCCAGACUCCUACGGGAGGCUGCAGUCGAGGAUCAUUUGCAAUGGGCGAAAGCCUGACAGUGCGACGCUGCGUGGAGGAUGAAGGCCUUCGGGUUGUAAACUCCUGUCAUUCGGGAACAAUAGCAGGGGAAUUAAUAUAUCUUCUGUUUGAUGGUACCGGAAGAGGAAGCCACGGCUAACUCUGUGCCAGCAGCCGCGGUAAUACAGAGGUGGCGAGCGUUGUUCGGAUUUACUGGGCGUAAAGGGUGCGUAAGCGGCUUUGUGUGUCGGAUGUGAAAUCCCACUGCUCAACGGUGGAACUGCAUUCGAAACUGCAGAGCUAGAGUACAGAA